rnacentral:misc_RNA from 1 species
CAGAGUGUGCCCCUCACGGGGACCCUCCAACCCUUUGUCAUUUAUACCUUUGUUGCUUUGGCGGGCCGCCUCGCGAGAGGCUGUCGGCUCCGGCCUGCACGCGCCCGCCAAAGACCCUUUAAACUCUGAAUGUUAGUGUCGUCUGAGACCAUAAAAAAUCGUUA